GACCCUGCUUUGAUUUCAUGUGGUACAGAACUGCCAGCAAAUGGACGCUCAGCGGGGAUUCUCUGUCAGGUGGGAUGGUGACAGUAAGAAUGCCACCAGCAGUAUGGCACGGGGACUUGGACAAUGGCAAAACAACACAGAACCAAAGAGGGCAAAUAAUAACACACAAUCACCAUCAACAAUACCAAUACUCGAAAAGGGCUCCGCAACAACAACUCCUUCAGAUUCAUGAUCACUUUCAUCUCCCACAGAUGUCGUCACUUCCGGUCCCUCGGCGAUUACGCCACUUCCGCCAAUACUGAUGAUGUCACUUCCGGGCCAGUAAUGAUGACAUCACUUUUGACCAAUCCCGAUGACAUCACUUC